rnacentral:snRNA from 1 species
UUGCUUCAGCAGCACAUAUUCUAAAAUUGGAACAACACAGAGAAGCAUGGCCCUGCACAGGAUGAACACAGAUUCAUGAAGCAGUCCAUUUUUUU